AAAAGGUCAGCAUGCAGAUUCAUUUUCUGCCACCGAAUACAUUAGCAUGGGAUAAUAGGAAUAGGACCCUGUCCUCCUAUUUUCAGUUGGUUUUGGCAGCGCGAGGACUAGGGUAAUGAUUAAUAGGGAUAGUUGGGGGCAUUAAUAUUUAAUUGUCAGAGGUGAAAUUCUUGGAUUUAUGAAAGAUUAACUUCUGCGAAAGCAUCUGCCAAGGAUGUUUUCAUUAAUCAAGAACGAAAGUUAGGGGAUCGAAGACGAUCAGAUACCGUCGUAGUCUUAACCAUAAACGAUGCCGACCAGCGAUUAGGAGACGUUGAAUACAAAACACCACCAUCGGCGCGGUCGUCCUUGGCGCGUUCGUGUUCACGCACGAGCGCGCGAGGGCGGUUUAUCCCGGUGGCACCGGUGAAUGACUCCCCUAGCAGCUUUGUGAGAAAAAUAAACAAACGAAAAAGCAAAC
rnacentral:rRNA from 1 species